AGACAGGGCUGUGUGUCCAGCCAACUCUGGGACAGAGGCAAGCUGAGGCCGGCCGCUGGCCAUGGUUACAGUGUCCCAGCCUCCACCCCAACCCAGCCCCCGUACCCUCUCCCAGAAGCACACGGGCCUGCGAACCGGACUUCCUCUGUCGGUGGGAUGGGGCCGAGGCCACCUGGCGACAGGACUUCUGCACACAGCACAGGCUGAGGAGGGACGAGACCUAGGUCUAGGGUACCUGACGACUGGG